rnacentral:misc_RNA from 1 species
UCUCCGUUGGUGAACCAGCGGAGGGAUCAUUACCGAGUUUACAACUCCCAAACCCAAUGUGAACCAUACCAAACUGUUGCCUCGGCGGGGUCACGCCCCGGGUGCGUCGCAGCCCCGGAACCAGGCGCCCGCCGGAGGGACCAACCAAACUCUUUCUGUAGUCCCCUCGCGGACGUUAUUUUUACAGCUCUGAGAAAAAAUUCAAAAUGAAUCAAAACUUUCAACAACGGAUCUCUUGGUUCUG